UACGUAGGGUGCAAGCGUUAAUCGGAAUUACUGGGCGUAAAGCGUGCGCAGGCGGUUUUGUAAGUCAGAUGUGAAAUCCCCGGGCUUAACCUGGGAACUGACGUUUGAAACUACAAGGCUAGAGUGUGGCAGAGGGGGGUGGAAUUCCACGUGUAGCAGUGAAAUGCGUAGAGAUGUGGAGGAACACCGAUGGCGAAGGCAGCCCCCUGGGGUUAACACUGACGCUCAGGCACGAAAGCGUGGGGAGCAAACAGG
rnacentral:rRNA from 1 species